rnacentral:rRNA from 1 species
GAUGAACGCUGGCGGCGUGCCUAAUACAUGCCAGUCGAGCGAACAGACGAGGAGCUUGCUCCUCUGACGUUAGCGGCGGACGGGUGAGUAACACGUGGAUAACCUACCUAUAAGACUGGGAUAACUUCGGGAAACCGGAGCUAAUACCGGAUAGUAUAUUGAACCGCAUGGUUCAAUAGUGAAAGACGGUUUUGCUGUCACUUAUAGAUGGAUCCGCGCCUCAUUAGCUAGUUGGUAAGGUAACGGCUUACCAAGGCGACGAUGCGUAGCCGACCUGAGAGGGUGAUCGGCCACACUGGAACUGAGACACGGUCCAGACUCCUACGGGAGGCAGCAGUAGGGAAUCUUCCGCAAUGGGCGAAAGCUUGACGGAGCAACGCCGCGUGAGUGAUGAAGGUCUUCGGAUCGUAAAACUCUGUUAUUAGGGAAGAACAAAUGUGUAAGUAACUAUGCACGUCUUGACGGUACCUAAUCAGAAAGCCACGGCUAACUACGUG